UCAGCAUAUCUUCACAUGAAUCAGGAUCUAUUCCAUCUGUGUUUGGUGCAUCAUGUACAGGAGCCAAGAUCGUUACAUUCCGGAUAGUUACAUUCUUACAGUCGUAUGGAUGAAGUGUCCAAAAAGGAGAGUCGCGCAAAGUUAUAUUGCUGAUCACAAUAUCCCUUGACCACAUGAUCUGCAUGAGUGGGCCCCUCGUGUGGUUAAGAAGCUUCUGGCGAUAUUUUUUCCACCAUGUUUGCCCCUGUCCGUUUAUGGUACCAUUAUGCCCUGUUAUCACAACAUCUCUGAGAUUUUGACCAUGAAUCAAACUCCCAUAUCGAGGUCCAACGUGCUCUCUUCCAUACCCAUAAGAAGGCAAAGGAGGCAUCAGUGGCCAAUAUUUUUCAUCCCG
rnacentral:misc_RNA from 1 species